UCUGAUCAUCAUCCUUGAAUUUGAUCUCUUUGAGAUGUUUUAAUUUGGUUCCAAGUUUUCUCGGCUAAUUUCUCUAUUUCUCAAUUAGUUUGAGUUUUCUGCUUUCUUUUCUUUGUUUAAUCACCACUGCUUCUUACAUGACUCACUUCUUAGUUUUACUGUUUUUAUAUAGCCCUCCAUUGAAUCUAUGGGUUCUGGUAAGGAUUUUUACUCUUUUUCUUUUUGCUGCAAGAUUUAUAGUAAUUGCAACAGUCUCUAUUUUGAGCCCUAAAUCCCUCCUUAAGAUGUUAAUGGAAACUUGUGCAAUUUGUGUCCCCUCGGAGGGCAUCCGAUUGAAAAGAAUAUAACUUGUGAAAUUGGUUAGUUUGGGAACAAGGUGUGGGUCUACUGUGUUUUCUGAUAUAGUAAGUUUUUUUCAAUUCUUUCUUUGAUUUUUGCCUUUGUUUCUUGGUAAUAAGAAUUUGGUGGAUAUUUGUUAGUUUUUCUAGAUUCUCUUGCAUAGGUUCUUGCUGGAUUUUGUAUAUGCAUGUCACUACUGUUUCUUAUUUACAGAUGCAUGUUUGUAUAUAGAUGUCUAGGUGCAUGUUUGAGAUACAUAAUUGUUUCUAAUUUUAAUUGAGUAAGAUUGGUACUUUCAACUGGAGCCCAAGCUCCGUUCUUGAAGCAGUGUCAUUGGAUUUUACCAUCGCUCUCUUGGCAUGAUUAUUCUUUUUCUAUAUUUUUUAUGAAGUAAACAAAGAUAUUGAUGCAAUGGCAUUGGAAAAGAUAAGGUUACCCGUUUGUUGCAUUUGAUUUGGUUUUCUUUCCCAUUAUCAGAUCUUUCAGUUCAAUUGGCUUCCAGUUACCGAUGCCUAUAAGCACUGAGCACAAUCAUCCUCUAUUGUUAACUAUGUCUCUAUUUCUUGGCCAUUAGACAUUCUCUUCUAAUGAUCACCCUAUCUGUUUUGCAUGGUUUUUGGUUUUUCUUUAGCUCUACUACUCUUUCCAAUAAGCUUCAACUUGCCUCAUUUUCUUUUGGCCUACUGCUUGGUUGAUUCACUGAGUCUGCACAUGCAUGCUCUUAUAGUUGACCAUUUUUUUGUGAAUUUUAUUUUAGUGAUUUUUUCAUGUAACAUGAGAGACAACAUUGCAAUGAUUAAAUUAUAUACAUGUUACAUAUGUUUUCUUUAUAUGACACAGAAUACGUGUUUGGAGAAAAGUCACUGUUAGAAAGUCAAGCUUUCUUUGUAAGGUUCAAGAGUAAAAUCUCAGCUUUGUAUACUUUCUAAGUUUAAAGAUUGAGCUUUCAGGUUGCUUACAUUUCCCAAGGAUGACAGCUAAUUUGUAUACGCAUCCAAGUUCAAAGGCUACAACUAUCCUGCAGGAGUUCAAAGACCUUGAGGUCAAAUUAAAUGAAUCAUGACAUAAUGGAUUUUCAGGUGCUUUCUAUUACGUUUAACACUUUUUUGUUUUGUUCAUUUAACACAAAAACAUUCGGUAAACAGAAAUCAUCUUUUUCUGUAUGCGCAGCCUCCAUAGAGAUCACUCUCAUGGAAAUCAACAAGAAUCAACUGAACACAUUUCUCAAUCCAUCAACUGAAAAUGGUAAUUCAAGAAGUCUAUUUUGCAAGCUUACAAUUUAGUAUAUAUAAUACAUUUUGGGUAGCUUAUAGACUUUGUUUCUAUGACUUAUCUUCAAGACUUCCUAACUUAGAUUGCGCACAUCCUUAAAUCUUAGCCUUCUCCGGUUUAAAGUUUCGAGCUGAUGUUAAAUUUAAGUAUUUAUGCUAACACAAUUUGAGUUCUAUUUUCGUCUGUUUUGAUAUACAAUGAAGUAGUUAUGUCUAUAUGUGUCUGAGACCAAAUGCAAAAAGAUUUCAAGAAAUAUUAUAGACAUUGCAAAACAGAAAGACUUAAUCGUUCAAUGGCCGUGACUAUGUCCUAUCAUAGAUUGAGAAAGAUAAAUUUACUCUUUUUCAUCAAAUGAAUUGUCUCAAUGCAAAAUCAAGUAAAUUUGCAUCUAAUGUUGUUGAAUCGUUGAUAAUGUGGAUUGGAAAAAUGAUGACAAUUUAAAAUUACAAAACUGUAACUUCAUUGCAAUCUUAAGGAGGCCAGACAAACGAAACAAGCUCUCUUACCAUGGCUAUGGCCUCUCACUUUUAAAUUCAUUCUUUUGCACUUCACAUGUUAUUUAGAAAAUGGUAUACCCUGCUUCUUGUUGAGGCUUUGCCUGCAAAGCUACUCAGUAAUGGAAAGGAGAGAAAUAUCAUGCAAAAUUAAUUUUUUGUAGUGGAGAAGGAAAAUGGUGACUUUGUACCACUGUUGCUGCCUUUCUUCUUGCUGCUCCGUGUUUAUAGUUUCU
rnacentral:lncRNA from 1 species